ACCUGGUUGGCUCAGUUGGUGGAGCAUGUGACUCUUGAUCUCAGGGUUGUGGGUUCGAACCUUACUUUGGGUG
rnacentral:tRNA from 1 species